CGGGCUGUCAGCCGGGAGGGACGCGCUUCCGGGUUUUAGGCAAGGUGCGCGGCUGGGACCGCAGCGAGGUCGCGCCGACGCUGCUUAACCUGCUAACUGCCGGCCAGGGGCUUUCCGCGAAGCCGGUGUGUCCGCCAAGGCGCUGCGUUUAGCCACUGAGUCUCGGAAGUGGAACUGGGGAAGAAUAAGAGACGUGACCCAGAGGUCCCAAGGGAGCAGACCUGAAAGCCAGAGCCUCCUCAACAGACUGCCAGGGGGCGAGACGACAGGAGACACUGUCCUCGGCAGAUUGAUAGAUGAAGCAUAAAACAAGACCAGAUGCUGUGGUUUCCAGGAUGCACUUGGCUUCCCAUCCUUUAUUACCUGGAGCAUUUUUUACUGUAAGUAGGUCACUUGCUUGCUCUCAUUUACCUGAUUCUAGAAAAAUGCCCUUGAAAGUAUUUGGGAAAUGAUGUGUGCUGGUGCUUAACAUUUUAAAAAUUAAGAUUGCAGAAAACCUGUUUCCUCCCUGUUUCUCUAGUAACCAGAAUAGAUUGUAACCUUGAAGCAUAAGUAAAACUAAAAUGUACAAUAAAAAUUAGAGAUCUUUUAUUUUCUAAGCA